rnacentral:misc_RNA from 1 species
AAGGAUCAUUACAGAACUGUUGACACGAGCUGUUGCUGGCCCUCAAAGGGGGCACGUGCACGCUCUGUUUACACAUCCACUCACACCUGUGCACCCUCUGUAGUUCUAUGGCCUCGGGGACUCCGUCUCCUUGCUGUGGUCCUACGUCUUUACACACACACCGUAACAAAGUCUCAUGGAAUGUAUGUCGCGUUUAACGCAAUACAAUACAACUUUCAGCAACGGAUCUCUUGGCUCUC